UCUUAAUACAGAAACUGCAAGGGAAAGAAAUGAAAUGUUCAUUUUCAACACAAAGCUAUUAUAUGUGUUGUCAAAGGCUUUCAUGACUGGAAUCACUGGGUUGCUGUGAGUUUUCCAGGCUGUAUGGCCGUGUUCCAGAAGCAUUUUCUCCUGAUGUUUCACCCACAUCUAUGGCAGGCAUCCUCAGAGGUUGUGAGGUCUUAGAAACUAGGCAAGUGGGGUUUAUAUAUCUGUGGAAGGUCCAGGAUGGGAGAAAGAACUCUUGUUUGCUUGAGGCAAGUGUGAAUGGUGCAGUUGGCCACCUUGAUUAGCAUUCAGCAACACUCAGAAAAUGGGAAUUCCAGACAGAAAAAUUAGGGCCAGCUAACACCUCCCAAGAAAGGGUUCUCCCAGGCAAGAAGCAGGCUUUGAAGCUGCCAAGCUAUUCAAUGCUAAUCAAGGUGGCCAAUUGCACCAUUCACACUUGCCUCCAACAGACAAGAGUUUAUUUAUUUAUUUUCGAUAUUUCUACCCCGCCCUUCUCCCCAAGGGGACUCAGGGCGGCUUGAAGAAAGAGUUCUUUCUCCCACCCUGGACAUUCCACAGCUUACCUAGUUUUCAACAGACCUCACAACCUCUGAGGAUGCCUGCCAUAGAUGUGGACAAAACGUCAGGAGAGAAUGCUUCUGGAACAUGGUCAUGCAGCCUGGAAUACUCACAGUAACUCAGAAACUAUUAUACUUGCAUUCGAGAGAUUUAUGUGAAAGUGUACUAUAUCUUUAAAAUGUUCUAAAAGUGUAACCUCGAGUUUAGUAUAAACAUUAAAAUCUUUCUUUUAAAAUAAUUUUAAUUUCUAGAUAAGGUGGAAAGGUUCGAUCGGACGUUUUUGAGUGCAUCUAUACUGUAGAAUCAAUGCAGUUUGACACUACUUUGACUUCCAUGGCUGAAGGCAAUUUGAUGUGACACCAGCAGUUUUUGGCAGAAAUUGCUAAAAACCUUGAAAAACUGUAGCUCCUGUGAUUCAGUAUCAUUGAGCCAUGGCCAUUAAAGUGGGUGUCAGACUGCAUUCAUUCAACAGUAUAGAUUUUUUCUUGAUUAUAUAUCGCUUAUAAUAAAACAAGGUUUACUUAUUCUAUAUCUCAUUGCAGUUAGAGCCAAGGAAAUUAGUGGUUGGGAUAAUUUAAAACAAUAGCAAUUGAAUUACUAUAUGUGCAUGUAGUACUCACUGAAUUUCCCAUAGUUUCUUCUAGACUUCACAAACAAGUGAAGGUUUCUGGCAAUGCUCAAGCUCUAGCAGUUUGGGGUGGGGGGAGAUUACAAUUAACAUUUCCUAGGAUACUGUGAUGGCUAUGAGAACUUGCACAGCAGUUGUGGUUGUAACCUGUAUGAUUCUGGUUUAUCUGUGUAUUACUUUUCAUAUCAAUUCAGUUUUUGGAAGAUCAGCUAAUGAAACACUUCUUGUUUUCUUUUAGCCACAUUUACAGAAAAUGAGAUCUUACAGUUGUGAUAACAUUUACGACUUUUGUUUUUAAAAGAUCUGGUUGCAGUUUGAGACGAUCCUGCAAGAUCAGGAUUGUCAAAUUAAUUUUCAAUGGGGGGCAUAUCAGCCUUAUUGUUGCCUUUAGAGGGCCGUUGAAUUCCUGGACAGUGAAUCCAUGUAUACAGAGGACCAACUAUAAUUUCUUUACAUAGUGGUUAGUGCUCUUUUGUUUUUACCUAAUUUGGGUCCCCAGAUGUUAUUGAAUGACAGCUCUCAUCACUUUUGAUUAUCCACCAUGCAGCCUGGGGAUAAUGGGAAUUGCAGUCAAACAGCACUUAUGGCUCUGAGGUUGGGGAAAGGGCAUUUUAAAGUCUGACAUAUCUAUAAGCCUUGUAUCUAAAUUCAAACCCCACUAUCAUGUCCAAAUAGAACAAACUGAAGCCUUCCAGAUAUUCCUGUAUCACAAUUUCCAUCAGCUGUAGUCAUGUUGAAUGAUGAGGAAUAUAGAAGUUGUAAUCCAGCAUCUGGAGGGCUACAUAAAAUAACAUGCUGAGCCAAAUUUGGACUGCAGGCUUUGAGUUUGACAUCUGUGCUAAGUGUUGGUGAUUAUUUUCUUUUAAGAUGGCUGGUGGCAACAUGCCAAUGUCUUUCUGCUCCUGGAACUACUCCCACUUAAAUGAUUUCAUUGGAUUUUGUCUGCCCUGAGCCAAAACUCAAGACUCAUUGCAAAUGGACCGUUAGCUGUCCUCAGUACACAGCAGCUUCAAGUAAAUCUAUCAGUAGUAGCUGUUACAUACCUCUUCUUCUUCCACAAGAUAAGGGGUGUGGAUACAGUGAAAGCCUGUGGCUUUUGGAAAAUGUGUUACAUAUCUAAGGCCCAUAAAAUGGAAGGCAAGUCAAACUGUUUUGGCAUGCAGAAAGGUCUACCAUGCAAUUGUAUUCAGGGAGGAGGUGGCUUCAGAUUAUUGUAAAUUGUUCUUGCAUAAGGAAGGGGCUGUGGUAAGUGAAAACUUGAGCAACAGUGAAAAAAAUGUCACAUUAUAGUUUGGUAUCAAAAAUACGUCUACAAAAUAAUGACUCAUUUUAGUACUCACUUGUACUCUCCCUUUCCAUGAAUAUGUUCCUUAGUAUUUGGUAUGUCCCAAUAAAUUAUUUUCUGGAACAAAUGAAUUUGUUCAUGCCUUCCCUAUUUCAACUGAUGUCAAGAUUUAAUUUUCACCCUGAGGUUUAAACUCAUUGGUAAUAUGCUAGGGAGCCUUAACAUGCAAAUAUGCCGUAGAAGCAAGAAGAGGUUCAUUGGUGUGUAUGAAAGCAAAUUCAAUAAAUUAUGUAUAAAAUAAAGUCAGUGUUAUUUUUGGACAAAGA